UUGAAAUACCAGUUCCUGUACAAUCACUGAAGUUAAGCAAUUUUGAGCCCAGUCAGUACCUAAAAGGGUGACUUCUUAGGAAUACCAGGUGCUGUAAG